rnacentral:misc_RNA from 1 species
GGAAGGAUCAUUACAAAUCUAAGGCCGCCAUCAUUUUGGUGGUGGGUCUAUAUGUUCGAGGCAGCAAUGCUUCGUUACAUUUACGCUUGUAUGUUUGACUGAGUUAGUGUGAUUUUAAAUAUUGACAACUUUUAACAAUGGAUCUCUUGGCUCUUGCAACGAUGAAGAACGCAGUAAAGUGCGAAAUGUAAUGCGAUUUGCAUGAAUCUGUGAGUCAUCGAAUUUUUGAACGCAACUUGCGCCCUAUUAGGGCAUGUCUGUUUGAGUACCGCAAUCUUUUAUGCAGCAAUGCGAAUUGAUCAUGGCGUUAGGCCUUGGUUUAAAGAUAGUAUAUAGUAUCAAGCUAGAGCUUGGACACUAUGUGUUAGAGACGCAAGUCUUCUCAUAGUACCAUGCGCUAAUGCUAGAUAACAAAUACUUUUUUUUUGGUCUCAAAUCAGGCAAGACUACCCGCUGAACUUAAGCAUAUCAGUAAGCGGAGGAAAAGAAACUAACAAGGAUUCCCUCAGUAACGGCGAGUGAAGCGGGAAAAGCUCAAAUUUAAAAUCUCGACGGUCUCCGUCGCGAAUUGUAGUCUAAAGAAGGUAAUCUAUGGUAGUAUGGUUGACAAAGUCUCCUGGAAUGGAGCGCCAGAGAGGGUGAGAGCCCCGUAAAGUCAAUUGUUCUACCUUAAGUGAGAACCUUUCUAAGAGUCGAGUUGUUUGGGAAUGCAGCUCAAAGUGGGUGGUAAAUCUCAUCUAAGGCUAAAUAUUGGCAAGAGACCGAUAGCGAACAAGUACCGUGAGGGAAAGAUGAAAAGCACCUUGAAAAGGGAGUUAAAUAGUACGUGAAAUUGUUAAAAGGGAAACGAUUGAGAUCAGUGUUGGAUUAGAGACUAAACUGAUGCUUACGUGUUGGUAGCAUCUCUAAUCCGAGUCAAUGCCAGUUGUAACUGUCGAAUACGUACUCGAGGAAGGUGGAGUCUACUUCGGUCGGCUCUUUAUAGACUCGAGUGUCUGCGAUAGCCGCGAUUGGAAGAGCAGUGACGCGGGUAUUGAUCUGGCAGCUCGGUUGUUAGACAGCAUGCUGGCUAAUGACUUAACCUGACAGUAAUAUAUCAACCUAGCUACUCGCCUUUGACGAAAUGGUCUUAAACGACCCGUCUUGAAACACGGACCAAGGAGUCUAACAAUCUUGCAAGCAUUAGAGUGGCAAACUCGAGAUGCGCAAUGAAAGUGAAAGCCUGUGAGCCAUUAGGCGCAGCAGGGACCGGCCUUGAUUUAUUAUGAUAGGACCGAGUAAGAGUAAAAUUGUUGGGACCCGAAAGGCGGUGAACUAUGCCUGACUAGGGCGAAGCCAGAGGAAACUCUGGUGGAGGCUCGUAGCCGUUCUGACGUGCAAAUCGAUGGUAAAAGUUGGGUAUAGGGGCGAAAGACUAAUCGAACCGCCUAGUAGCUGGUUCCCUC